GAUGAACGCUGGCGUCGUGCCUUAUACAUGCAAGUCGAGCGAAGCGGGGACGGGUGAGUCACACGUGGAUAACCUCCUAUAAGACUGGGAGAACUUCGGGAAACAGGCGCUAAACCGGAUACUUAUAGAUUGAUCCGCGCUGCAUUAGCUAGUUGGUAAGGUAACGGCUUACCAAGGCAACGAGGCAUAGCCGACCUGAGAGGGGGAUCGGCCAUAGUGGAACAGAGACAUGGUCCAGACUCCUACGGAAGGCACCAGGAGGGUAUCUUCCGAAAUGGGCGAAAGCCUGACGGAGCAAAGCCGCGUGAGUGAAGAAGGUCUGCGGAUCGUAAAACUCUGUUAUUAGGGAAGCGGUACCUAACAAGAAAGCCACGGCUAACUACGUGCCAGCAGCCGAGGUAAUAC
rnacentral:rRNA from 1 species